rnacentral:miRNA from 1 species
UGGAAUGUCGAGAAAUAUGCAU